CGUGUAUUUGACGAUCUGAUCG
rnacentral:miRNA from 11 species